rnacentral:tRNA from 1 species
GUCUCCGUCGUAUAGUGGUUAGUACACCGGGUUUUCAUCCCAGCAACAGGGGUUCAAUUCCCCUCGGAGAUG